CGUUUCGUAUUAGUACAAGGAUAAAUUCUGAAAACAGGUUACAGAUGAAGAUACGAUGAGAGCAAUGAUCGACCCUUGGACAAUUUAUGAUGAUAUUACGGUUAUCUAACUCAGUUCUGGCAUAUGCAUGAUGAAGCACAGGUGUGGAACAGUAGACGUGACGUAUGACAAGUCUCUAAUUGCUUCGAAUCUGCGAUAUUGUAACGACAAAUUCGAAGAGAGAAGAGCAAAAAUUCUAUCCACGAUAUUUGAUUUAAAUCGGCGUAUUUUAAAAACAUUACGAUAAUAAGAGGAGUUGCUGCAAUUGUGAAAGAAAAGAGAAAUCUGUACUCGUAGAUUUUUAUUUAAAGUUUAUCAGGCUAGUGCAUCAAAGUGUGAGCAAACGUAUAAAUUAAGUACCAAGAGAGGUUUAUAAUCGAGCUUGGUUUAUUGAGGUAUGGUAAAUCUCCGGAUGACAUAGUGGAUGAAUAUCCGCCUUCUUUAAGCAAAAGUGUGAUAAAUCAAAGUCUGUUGGGCAACGGUGCGUAUUGGUUUAACGUGGUGUAAAUGAUGGAAACUGUAGGCGAAAGAGAGUAACUCUGAUCGUUCAACGUUGAAAGAACGUAUGUAUGCGUAUACUUUGUUGAAAAUGAAUUAUCAAUGUUGCAGAAGGUCGUUUGCCUAACAUAGUGUUACAACUAAUGCAAUUUUAUUCUACUGUUUCUAUUUAAAGCACGGGAAACUAACGAGCGUAGUUUCAGAAUGCAUUUAUUCUUUAUGUAUAUCGAUUAUCGAACCCGCCUUUUUUGAAACGACGCCAUCGUCAUUCGGACAGCCAACAUAUCGUGGCACGUCUCUUAUCCCUCGUUCCACAGGUGUGGAAUUCUUUGCCAUUAAUUUGAUGAAGAUGUAAAAUUUCUCAGUGGUCGUUUCCAACGGAGUGUAUUGUCGUUUCUGUCACGAGCUCGCCCGAAUCUAAAUUACGUAUAGCUGAUUUAAUUAUUGGGAAGGCACGACGAAAGUUGUUUGAGCCAACUACAAAGAGAAUAACUUGGCUGUAUUGGGUUUACUUCUUUUUACCGUGACUUUGAUCAAAGUUAAACUUCAUAAACGUAAAUCAGUUACAAGGCUCUGUUUCUCCAGUAAAUUUCGAAUCAUUAAACUCACUUUAGGUGACCGAUAAAAUAUGGCUAUCCGAUUGAACAGCAGUUUCGUUUUAUUAAGUUUUCCACGUUUCACAGCAGACCGAACUUUCCAAUAUUACAUGAAAAUAAUAUAAAAAUGAAAUGGGUCGUCCUUUCAAAUUUCAACGUUGUGUCGAGAAAAUACGGGGCAGGAGGAUAAUAUUCGAUAACAUUUUUCAAACAUUCCAUACACUUACUGUAGGGGAUCAUUUCGGUGGAGUUUUCUGACUGUGGCAUGGUCCCUUCCACACAACCUCUCCAGAGACCCAUAUGCUUGUAGAUUAAUCGUCUACCUUUGCUUGGAUCCCCAAGGGGUAAACCUCCUUCAUCCGGUGCUUCGACUAUGAACCAGUGAUCGGUUCCAAUGGCAAUCGACCAUAUGCACACUGACAGGCCAACGAGAACAGUACAACCAAGAAGAAUUCGCCUCUCGAAGAUUACCUGUACAACAAAACGUACACGAAAUAUCUAGAAAUUUCAUCUCGGUCCCGUUUC